UACGGGAGGCAGCAGUGGGGAAUAUUGCACAAUGGGCGAAAGCCUGAUGCAGCUAUGCCGCGUGUAUGAAGAAGGCCUUAGGGUUGUAAAGUACUUUCAUCGGGGAGGAAAAAACAAAACUAAUAAUUUUAUUUCUUGACGUUACCCGAAAAAGAAGCACCGGCUAACUCCGUGCCAGCAGCCGCGGUAAUACGGAGGGUGCUAGCGUUAAUCAGAAUUACUGGGCGUAAGGAGCACGUAGGUGGUUUUUUUAAGUCAGAUGUGAAAUCCCUGGGCUUAACCUGGAACUGCAUUUUGAAACUGAAAUACUAGAGUAUCGUAGAGGGAGGUAGAAUUCUAGGUGUAGCGGUGAAAUGCGUAGAUAUCUGGAGGAAUACCUGUGGCGAAAGCGGCCUCCUAAACGAAUACUGACACUGAGGUGCGAAAGCGUGGGGAGCAAACAGGGAUUAGAUACC
rnacentral:rRNA from 1 species